rnacentral:rRNA from 1 species
CUACGGGGGGCACCAGUCGAGAAUCUUCCGCAAUGCACGAAAGUGUGACGGAGCGACGCCGCGUGAUGGAUGAAGCACCUCGGUGUGUAAACAUCUUUUAUAGAGGAGGAAGUUUAUUGACGUUACUCUAUGAAUAAGGGGCUCCUAAUCUGGUGCCACGCAGGAGCGGUAAUACCAGAGCCCCGAGCGUUAUCCGAAAUUACUGGGCGUAAAGGGUGCGUAGGUGGUUAUAUUAGUCGUGAGUUAAAGACCCGGGCUCAACUCGGGGAAGGCUCACGAAACGGUAUAACUAGAGUGUAGGAGAGGUAUACGGAACUCUCGGUGUAGGGGUGAAAUCCGUUGAUAUCGAGGGGAACACCAAAUGCGAAGGCAGUAUACUGGCCUACUACUGACACUGAGGCACGAAACCCUGGGUAGCGAAUGGGAUUAGAUACCCCUGUAGUC